GGGGAUGUAGCUCAGUGGUUGAGCUCUUGCUUAGCACACAGGAGGAUGUACAUUCAUCCCCA
rnacentral:tRNA from 1 species